rnacentral:rRNA from 1 species
UGGGGAAUAUUGCACAAUGGGCGCAAGCCUGAUGCAGCGACGCCGCGUGAGGGAUGACGGCCUUCGGGUUGUAAACCUCUUUCACCAGGGACGAAGCGUGAGUGACGGUACCUGGAGAAGAAGCACCGGCCAACUACGUGCCAGCAGCCGCGGUAAUACGUAGGGUGCGAGCGUUGUCCGGAAUUACUGGGCGUAAAGAGCUCGUAGGCGGUUUGUCGCGUCGUCUGUGAAAUUCUGCAACUCAAUUGCAGGCGUGCAGGCGAUACGGGCAGACUUGAGUACUACAGGGGAGACUGGAAUUCCUGGUGUAGCGGUGAAAUGCGCAGAUAUCAGGAGGAACACCGGUGGCGAAGGCGGGUCUCUGGGUAGUAACUGACGCUGAGGAGCGAAAGCGUGGGUAGCGAACA